rnacentral:rRNA from 1 species
GCUUCGCGGCGCUCCCUACACGACACGUCAUGUAGGUCGUCGCGUUGUCCUUGUACGCCGACUCAAUCCUACCGCGGUGCUCUUUACCGAGUGUCGAGGUAGGCCGGCACAUUUUACUUUGAACAAAUUAGAGUGCUUAAAGCAGGCUCUUAAAUCAGCCUGAAUAGUGGUGCAUGGAAUAAUGGAACAGGACCUUGGUUCUAUUUUGUUGGUUUUAGGAAUCCAAGGUAAUGAUCAAUAAGGACAGGCGGGGGCAUUCGUAUUUGCGACGUUAGAGGUGAAAUUCUUGGAUCGUCGCAAGACGCACUAGAGCGAAAGCAUUUGCCAAGUAUGUCUUAAUUUGAUCAAGAACGAAAGUUAGAGGUUCGAA